rnacentral:rRNA from 1 species
GACGAACCGUGCAAACGUUAUUCGGAAUCACUGGGCUUAAAGGGCGCGUAGGCGGGCUCGCCAGUCAGGGGUGAAAGCCUCCAGCUCAACUGGAGAAGUGCCUUUGAUACUGCGAGCCUCGAGGGAGGUAGGGGCGUGCGGAACUUCCGGUGGAGCGGUGAAAUGCGUAGAUAUCGGAAGGAACACCGGUGGCGAAAGCGGCGCGCUGGACCUCUUCUGACGCUGAGGCGCGAAAGCCAGGGGAGCAAACGGG